rnacentral:tRNA from 1 species
CGGCGCAGCCGGGUAUUGAUCGAACUUACAAGGCGAAUGUCGGCGGUUCGAACCCGUCUGCGCCCACCA